rnacentral:rRNA from 1 species
GUUGAACGCUGGCGGCAGGCCUAACACAUGCAAGUCGAGCGGAUGAAGGGAGCUUGCUCCUGGAUUCAGCGGCGGACGGGUGAGUAAUGCCUAGGACUCUGCCUGGUAGUUGGGGAUAACGUCCGGAAACGGGCGCUAAUACCGCAUACGUCCUGAGGUAGAAAGUGGGGGUUCUUCGGACCUCACGCUAUCAGAUGAGCCUAGGUCGGAUUAGCUAGUUGGUGGGGUAAAGGCCUACCAAGGCGACGAUCCGUAACUGGUCUGAGAGGAUGAUCAGUCACACUGGAACUGAGACACGGUCCAGACUCCUACGGGAGGCAGCAGUGGGGAAUAUUGGACAAUGGGCGAAAGCCUGAUCCAGCCACGCCGCGUGUGUGAAGAAGGUCUUCGGAUUGUAAAGCACUUUAAGUUGGGAGGAAGGGCAGUAAGUUAAUACCUUGCUGUUUUGACGUUACCAACAGAAUAAGCACCGGCUAACUUCGUG